GGGCCCGCACAAGCGGUGGAGUAUGUGGUUUAAUUCGAUGCAACGCGAAGAACCUUACCAGGGUUUGACAUCCUGCGAAUCUCCUGGAAACGGGAGAGUGCCUUCGGGAGCGCAGUGACAGGUGGUGCAUGGCUGUCGUCAGCUCGUGUCGUGAGAUGUUGGGUUAAGUCCCGCAACGAGCGCAACCCACGUCGUUAGUUGCCAGCAUUCAGUUGGGCACUCUAGCGAGACCGCCGGUGAUAAACCGGAGGAAGGUGUGGAUGACGUCAAGUCAUCAUGCCCCUUACAUCCUGGGCUACACACGUACUACAAUGCUACGGACAAAGAGCAGCAAGUUCGCGAGGACAAGCA
rnacentral:rRNA from 1 species